CCGUUUCAAUUUUUAUUAUGAAUGUCCAAAGCGACAGCAUACUGUGAAAGUGUUAGGUUCUCAUUGAUUAAAUGUCAAGAGACCACAGAUACAGCAUUCCAAGCACUUUAAUUCGUGACAGAGCCAAAACAAAUAAAAGAAUGAUAAAAAUAUUCUUUUAAGUGUAAAGAGUGUUCAUAUUCGAGUUUGUGGGUUUUUUUUUCAACCCCCCACCCCUUGCAGGUAUUGUGAACACUGAUAAUUUCCAAAACCCAGAACCUGGUCUGAAUACUUGCAACAAAUUUUUAUAAUCUCUGCCUGAAUAAGAAGUGAUUAAAAAACGUACUUAUAAAGUAUGUUUAUGAUACAGUGGGAUGACUCCCUUCCCUCCUCUCUCCCUAGGCUUCUCCCCUACCACCAGGUACCUGCUGUUCAUAAGAUCAGGACACGAAAGCUGGGGUGAGAUACCUGGAAGACUACAUUGAACCUGGAUUUUCUCAAACUGCAUCUCUUUUCCUUUUUAAUAAAAACGGAAGAGUUCAACGUUUGCGUGUCCAAGGAGAUGACUCAUAACGAUGGAUGAAAGCCACCAGUCAAGAACCACAGUUUUUGCACGUUGUGUUUAAGCAAAAAAGCCUUAGUUUACUACAGCUAUGGUUCCAGUAAUCUGUAGUUCCAACACAACAUGACAUUUUCUCCCUGAACAGUUUCCUU
rnacentral:lncRNA from 1 species